rnacentral:rRNA from 1 species
UAGCAUAUCAAUAAGCGGAGGAAAAGAAAAUAACAAUGAUUCCCCUAGUAACGGCGAGUGAAGAGGGAAAAGCUCAAAGUUGGAACCUGGUGGGCAUAGCUCACCCGGAUUGUAAACUAAAGUUUUUGAGUCGUUUAGUCAGCCAGGUAAAUAAGUCCUCUGGAAAGGGGCGACAUAGAGGGUGAAAUCCCCGUCUUUGGCCUGAGUUUUGAUUAGGCGUUUGGCUUGGAAACGAAGAGUCAGGUUGUUUGGGAAUGCAGCCUAAAAUGGGAGGUAAAUCUCUCCUAAAGCUAAAUAUUGACGAAAGACCGAUAGCGAACAAGUACCGUGAGGGAAAGAUGAAAAGCACUUUGAAAAGAGGGUCAAAAAGUACGUGAAAUUGCUGAAAGGGAACCGUAUGAAAUCAGACUUACUGGUAGGUAAUCAAUCUUUCCCUUGGGAAGGAUGCACUUGCCUGCUAUGUACGCCAGCGACAUUUUGGUUGUGGAGGAAAAAAAUAGUUGGAAUGUAGCCUGGGUUUCGGCUUAGGUGUUAUAGACUACUAUAAAAUACUCUCGGCUAGAAUGAGGAACGCAGCAAACCGUAAGGCGAAGAUUUUAGGCGCUUGGGGGGGAUCAUUAGAGAAUUUCUGCUUCGGGUGGUGCUUUAGUGAUUUCGUUCAACUCGUUUGAAUUUCUUUUUAUUGC